UGAGGAAUAUUGGUCAAUGGGCGAGAGCCUGAACCAGCCAAAUCGCGUGAAGGAAGACUGCCUUAUGGGUUGUAAACUUCUUUUAUACAGGAAUAAAAAACGGGGACGUGUCCCUUAUUGCAUGUACUGUAUGAAUAAGCAUCGGCUAACUCCGUGCCAGCAGCCGCGGUAAUACGGAGGAUGCGAGCGUUAUCCGGAUUUAUUGGGUUUAAAGGGUGCGCAGGCGGGCUUUUAAGUCAGCGGUGAAAUCUCGGGGCUUAACUCCGAAACUGCCGUUGAAACUGGGAGUCUUGAGUAUGGAUGAAGUAGGCGGAAUUCGUUGUGUAGCGGUGACAUGCUUAGAUAUAACGAGGAACUCCGAUUGCGUAGGCAGCUUACUAAGCCAUAACUGACGCUCAAGCACGAAAGCGUGGGGAUCAAACAGGAUUAGAUACCCCUGGUAGUCCACGCCGUAAACGAUGAUUACUAGUUGUAUGCGAUAUACCGUAUGUGACUAAGCGAAAGCGAUAAGUAAUCCACCUGGGGAGUACGCCGGCAACGGUGAAACUUAAAGGAAUUGACGGGGUCAUAGCUGUUUCCU
rnacentral:rRNA from 1 species